rnacentral:lncRNA from 1 species
UUUUUUUGUUGUUUUUCUUUUUUCCCCCUUAGGAUACUCCUGAACUGGUGAGGUAUGCUCACAAUGAGGUUUCUUCUAAAAGUUAUUUUUCUACUUUCUUCUGUUAGCAAAGCAGUUGUCACUACAGAAUGAAUUCAUUUGAGCCAUCCACAGAUAGGUUAAGGAUUUUUGAUUGGAAGGCUACAAGUUAUCAGUGACCUCAGUGCUUUCGGGCUAUGCCCUUGUUUACACUGACAGCAAAGUGCUAUUGGAGUGUUAUAGGGUUUCAGAGAAUACCUUUAAUUAUCAAUUAUAGGUUUUAAAUUUACCCUGGCUUUUAAAGGAAUAUGGUACACUGCUUUGUUUUUUUUUUUCUCUUAACUACUUGUGUAUCUCUCUCUUUCUCUCUUUGACUUUCUGUCUCUCUCUCUGCCUCUCUCUCUCUCUCCUUGAUGCCCUCUCUGUCUCUCUGUCUCUUCCUCUCUGUCUUUGCCUCUUUUCCUGUCUAUUUCCUUUCUCUCUCUCUGCUGGUCUUUCCUUGCCUCUUCCAGCCGCUUAUGCUGCUGUUCUCUCAUCCACUGUGGGGUGGGGGGUCUAAAACCAGCUGUAACCAAGUGUCUAUGUACAGGGACUGGUCUGGGUGCCCUGGCUUACAGGUCACCUUGUGCCAUACAUUUGAAACAAGGGACCUGUCCAGGCUUCCUUCUGAUGACCAACCCACCUCUAAUGCUGGCCAGUCUAUCUUACACAAAGUUUUAAGUUUUCCUGGUGUCAUAGUACUCCAUAGUCUCCCUUAAAUCCUAUUUUGAAAUUUUUCAACAUAGUUCCUGGUGGGGUGGGCUUACUUUGUCCCUGACUCAUGCUUCCUUUAGAAAAAAUACCACACUCACACCACAAAACAAAGAACGGGUAAAAAGGGCACACACACUUUUAUGGUUUGCAUCAAACCAGAAUCAAAACCAAACUCAGAGUAUCAAGAAAUCCAAGCCAGGUCAAAACCAAAACCAAAGUAUCAAGCAAUUCAAGUAAAGUCAAAAACAAAAACCAAAGUGCUAGUACAGGCACACCAUAGGCAAUCAGGCCACGCUUCCACUCAAAUGGAGUAGACAAGUUCCCAAGACCAAUCCUGUCAAGCAAUUCAAACCAAGUCAAAACCAAAACCAAAGUGCCGAUAAAGGCACGGUGUGGGCGAUCAGGCCACACUUCCAUUCAAAUGGAGUGGGCAAGUUCCAAAGACCAGUCUUACCAAGUUUCAGAUGUCCGGACUCCAUGUGCCAGUUCCUUCCCAGUGUUCAGCCACUGCGUUGAUCCUCCAUGGGGGCCUGCCAUGCACCCCUCUCAUGAGGCAUUCCACUGGGGCAAAGGCCUACCCAGGAGUGCUCUCAGGAUCCACAUCACUUAAGCUGGCCGGAGUCCCCCACAGGGAUGCUCCACAGGGCAGGCCUAAGCUGCCUUACAGGCUGCCUCAACCGUCCGUCAGUUAAUCAC